rnacentral:tRNA from 1 species
GCAGGCGUCGUUCAGACGGUAGGACACCUCCUUGCCAUGGAGGAGACGCGGGUUCGAGACCCGCCGCCCGCUCCA